rnacentral:lncRNA from 1 species
UUUACUCUACUGGAACGUUCUUUUGGGAAAAAAUUCUUUGCUUGAACCAUGUUUGAAUUAUUGGAUUUUGGAUGAAUGAAUUUUAUUGAGCAUAGCUCAACACCUUUUCUUUGUUUAAUAUAUAUUUUCCCUAGGUUUUCACUCACGUCACGGUGCACUUCCAUUUCAAUUGAAUAGAAGCAUGGAGAAUUUGGUUUCUUUUAGAAGCAUUCGGUGCUAGCACCUGACACGGCCCUAGGGAGCAAAAGCCACCCGUCACUCUUCAGUUUUUUUUGGCUUUGAAUGUUUUCUUUGAAAACGGAAAUGAGUAACAUACGGUGCUUGGAAAAAAGAGGCCAGCCUCCACUUUGAUUUUGC